UGACAGACUCCUACGGGAGGCAGCAGUGGGGAAUAUUGGGCAAUGGGCGCAAGCCUGACCCAGCAACGCCGCGUGAAGGAAGAAGGCUUUCGGGUUGUAAACUUCUUUUGACAGGGAAGAGUAGAAGACGGUACCUGUCGAAUAAGCCACGGCUAACUACGUGCCAGCAGCCGCGGUAAUACGUAGGUGGCAAGCGUUGUCCGGAUUUACUGGGUGUAAAGGGCGUGCAGCCGGGCUGACAAGUCAGUUGUUAAAUCCCGCGGCUCAACCGCGGAACUGCAGUUGAAACUGGCAGUCUUGAGUACCGGAGAGGUCAGCGGAAUUCCUGGUGUAGCGGUGAAAUGCGUAGAUAUAAGGAAGAACUCCAGUGGCGAAGGCGGAUGACUGGACGGCAACUGACGGUGAGGCGCGAAAGCGUGGGGAGUAAACAGGAGUAGAUACCCUUGUA
rnacentral:rRNA from 1 species